UUACAGAGAAAGUAUGGGACCUUGUCUGGAAGCAUGGUAGAAAAGACUGCAUUAUAUGACUAAAGCGGAGUCUAUUCUAUUUUAACUAAUAAAGUAGUAUACUAUGUACAACACUUGAUUCAUAAUGAAUAUUCUACUUUUCCUUCUAUUCAACAACAAGAAAUAUUUUAUUUUAACCAUACCAGCAUGUAGAUGGUCGCAAAUCUAUUCCAUUUUAUUUGAAUAACAAAGCCGAUUCGAAAGUUGAAUAGAAAUCUCACAAAAGUCCAAACAAAAAGUCUCAUACCUUUGGUGUAAUGCGUUUACACAUAGUGAAUCUCACAUGCAAUAUAAAAACACUUCUAUUUCAGAUUGUCCAAAUCUUUUCAACUAGUUAAUAUUGUAACACAAAUGAUUGGAAAAUUUAAGAGAACCGGAGAUAAUAAGACAAUAAUCAGAACUCACAGUGUUACAUUUUUUCCGCAACUAAGUCGAAUCAGCAACCACUAUUACUUUAACUCAAAACUCUCAUGUUCUUGCAUCCUCACGACUGUUGAUAUCAGAAUCCGAGGAACUUCCCCAUCCAUCACCGAGAGAGGCUUCAAAUAUAAUUUGAUGUUCCAAAAAAAAAAUCUAAAAAUUAGUGGUAUCACUGUCUAGAAAAUUGGAGAAAGAAUCUGGAAAGUUAAAGAAUACAUGGUUGAAGGAUGUAAAGAAAGGUAUGUGAAUAUUAUUUUUGUUACAAGUUUUACCUGCUAGAUACAAUAGUAAAAACGAAAUAUUAUACAAAAAAAAAUAUAUCCUGUAUAGGAGUAAAUUAGGAAAAUUGGUCAGAUAGCGAAUUAUAAUAUUUUUAAACUAGGAAAAUUGGUCAGAUAGCGAAUUAUAAUAUUUUUAAACGUUAUACCGUUCAAUUUCCCAAUAAAUAAAUCACCAUACCGAUAAAUAAAUAAAGCACCAUACGAAUAUUUGAGUUAUUAACACAAAUAGGCAAUUUAUGAGUUUUUAUUAUACUCUAGAGCACAUUGUGCUACACAAACACUUUUCUGUGGUUGAAGACCAAAUUAUCCUCUAAAAAGAGAAACUAUGGAGAGACAUUUAAGUAAAAUGACAUUCUAUGCUAGUUGGACUGGUUAUAGAUUUUCUUUUCUUUUUGAUUUUUGAAUUUCUCUUAUUUUGUACGGUGGACCCGAAGGAAACAUUAAACUAAGUUUAUUUUUGACUUUUUUUUCUUUUCUUUUACGGUGAAACCUCCUCACCGAGAGCUUUGAUUUUGACGACAUAGUUGUUGACUAGGGAGAUGACGACGAGAUAAAAAUGACCGGGGAAGAAGAAAGCCAAAGGUUAGUGUGCAGCAAACGAUGGAGAUCGGCGAAUCUGAAAUCGUUGUGGUAGGGUGUAUGGGGAUUGAGACAAUGUUUUUCUGCAAUUAUUAUGUUUUCUCUAAUUAUGCUAGUCAGUCACAUAAAGUGAUGUUGUUUGUUCAAAAAUUGUAGAGAAAAAAACAUACUAAGUGUUCGACAAAAUGUGUGGAUAUUAUCAAAGAUGUACAUAUGGACAACAAAGUAUGGACAAGUAAUGUAGAUAUUCUAAGCA